rnacentral:rRNA from 1 species
GUGCCAGCAGCCGCGGUAAUACAGAGGGUGCAAGCGUUGUUCGGAAUUAUUGGGCGUAAAGCGCGUGUAGGCGGCCUAGCAAGUCGGGUGUGAAAGCCCUCAGCUCAACUGAGGAAGUGCGCCCGAAACUGCUGGGCUUGAGUGCCGGAGAGGGUAGCGGAAUUCCCCAAGUAGAGGUGAAAUUCGUAGAUAUGGGGAGGAACACCGGUGGCGAAGGCGGCUACCUGGACGGCAACUGACGCUGAGACGCGAAAGCGUGGGGAGCAAACAGGAUUAGAUACCCCCGUAGUCC